AUAAACUACAAACACAUUCCAACUAUAAGAAGCUAAAGCAUUAAAAAUGGCUUCAAGAGCUUUGGUAACAACUGCUUUUCUCCUUACGUUAAAUCUUCUUUUCUUCACUCUAGUAUCCUCUACUAGUACCCCAAAAGGCUGCCCACCUCCACCAAAACCACCAUCACCAGGGUGCCACUGCACAUCACCACCAAAACCUCCAACUCCUUCAAAACCUUCAACACCUUCAAAACCUCCAACCCCUUCAAAACCUUCAACACCUACAACACCUUCAAACCCUCCCAAAGCCACUUGCCCAAAAGACACUCUUAAAUUGGCUGUGUGUGCUAAUUUGCUCAACAACCUUCUCCCCAUAGUCAUUGGAAGCCCAUCAAAGACACCAUGUUGUUCCCUCCUUUCUGGCCUCGCAGAUCUUGAUGCUGCAGUCUGUCUUUGCACUGCCAUUAAAGCUAAUGUCUUGGGAAUCAACCUCAACGUUCCUGUUUCAUUGAGCGUGUUGCUUAACUACUGUGGAAAGAAGUCCCCAUCCGGCUUCCAAUG
rnacentral:lncRNA from 1 species